GAUGAACGCUGGCGGCGUGCCUAAUACAUGCAAGUCGAGCGAACAGACGAGGAGCUUGCUCCUCUGACGUUAGCGGCGGACGGGUGAGUAACACGUGGAUAACCUACCUAUAAGACUGGGAUAACUUCGGGAAACCGGAGCUAAUACCGGAUAAUAUAUUGAACCGCAUGGUUCAAUAGUUAAAGACGGUUUUGCUGUCACUUAUAGAUGGAUCCGCGCCGCAUUAGCUAGUUGGUAAGGUAACGGCUUACCAAGGCAACGAUGCGUAGCCGACCUGAGGGGUGGAUCGGCCACACUGGAACUGAGACACGGUCCAGACUCCUACGGGAGGCAGCAGUAGGGAAUCUUCCGCAAUGGGCGAAAGCUUGACGGAGCAACGCCGCGUGAGUGAUGAAGGUCUUCGGAUCGUAAAACUCUGUUAUUAGGGAAGAACAAAUGUGUAAGUAACUAUGCACGUCUUGACGGUACCUAAUCAGAAAGCCACGGCUAACUACGUG
rnacentral:rRNA from 1 species